rnacentral:rRNA from 1 species
GACGAACGCUGGCGGCGUGCUUAACACAUGCAAGUCGAACGGAAAGGCCCUGCUUUGGUGGGGUGCUCGAGUGGCGAACGGGUGAGUAACACGUGAGUAACCUGCCCUUGACUUUGGGAUAACUUCGGGAAACUGGGGCUAAUACCGGAUAGGAGCUCCUGCUGGAUGGUGGGGGGUGGAAAGUUUCGGCGGGUGGGGAGGGACCCGCGGCUUAGCAGGUUGUUGGUGGGGUAGUGGUUUACCAAGGCGGUGAGGGGUAGCCGGCGUGAGAGGGUGGCCGGACACAUUGGGACUGAGAUACGGCCUAGUCUCCUACGGGGGAGAGAAGUGGGGUAUUUUGCAAAAGGGGCGGAAGUCUGAUGCAGCAACGCCGCGUGCGGGAUCGGCGCCCUCGGGUUGAACACCGUUUGCGCCUGAGGCGGAGCGUGUGUGACGGUAAUGGGUAAAGAAGCACCGGCUAACUACGUG